CCUACGGGGUGCAGCAGUGGGGAGUAUUGGACAAUGGGCGAAAGCCUGAUCCAGCAAUGCCGCGUGUGUGCAGAAGGUCUUCGGUUUGUAAAGCUCUUUCGACGGGGACGAUGAUGACGGUACCCGUGGAAGAAGCCCCGGCUAACUUCGUGCCAGCAGCCGCGGUAAUACGAAGGGGGCUAGCGUUGCUCGGAAUGACUGGGCGUAAAGGGCGCGUAGGCGGUUUAUGCAGUCAGAUGUGAAAUCCCCGGGCUUAACCUGGGAACUGCAUUUGAGACGCAUAGACUAGAGGUCGAGAGAGGGUUGUGGAAUUCCCAGUGUAGAGGUGGAAUUCGUAGAUAUUGGGAAGAACACCGGUGGCGAAGGCGGCAACCUGGCUCGAUACUGACGCUGAGGCGCGAAAGCGUGGGGAGCAAACAGGAUUAGAUACCCCUGUAGUC
rnacentral:rRNA from 1 species